rnacentral:rRNA from 1 species
GAUCAUGGCUCAGGAUGAACGCUGGCGGCGCGCUUAACACAUGCAAGUCGAACGGUUAAAGCACCUCCGGGUGUGCAUAAAGUGGCGAACGGCUGAGUAACACGUGGGCAACCUGCCCCCCGCACCGGGAUAGCCUCGGGAAACCGUGGGUAAUACCGGAUACUCCGCCACCCCCGCAUGGGGGAGGCGGGAAAGCGUACACGGCGGGGGAUGGGCCCGCGGCCUGUUAGCUCGUUGGCGGGGUAACGGCCCACCAAGGCGAUUAUGGGUAGCCGGGUUGAGAGACCGACCGGCCAGAUUGGGACUGAGACACGGCCCAGACUCCUACGGGAGGCAGCAGUGGGGAAUCUUGCACAAUGGGCGAAAGCCUGAUGCAGCGAACCGCCGCGUGCGGGAUGAAGGCCCUCGGGUUGUAAACCGCUUUCAGCAGGGACGAGGCGCAAGUGACGGUACCUGCAGAAGAAGCCCCGGCUAACUACGUGCCAGCAGCAGC